UUGCAGAUGUCGCACACGCGUUCGUUCUGGCGCGUGGACUGCUUUUGACGGAAGAGGCUGAGCUCGUGCUGGGGAUGAGUGAAGUUUUGGAGGGUGAAGGGACACGUGGCGCAGUAUUCGUGGAGAUCGUAGUCGCAUGUUUCGCAUCGAUAGGUUUUGUCUGAGCCGUAGGUUUCGCAGCCGUCGCAGAUGAAGUCACGGGCGAUGUUCGUUUCCAUUAGUGGAUGGUUGUGCGUGAAAUGCUGAACGACGCGAUGUUUUGGAGCCAUCUUUACCGUUUUUGGUGUGUGUGUGUGUGUGUGUGUUCUUUUUUUAGAAUGGUUAGGAUUUGAGAGAAGAAACGGUGGUAUAUAUAAGAACGAAUACUUUUUGAGACGAAUCCAAACAUUGUUUCGGACAUAACUAAGAACUUUCGAUUACUCGUGCUUACAAAAGAGAACACUUUUGUUGACUUGUCCAGCUAAGGUUAACAUGCUCUAGAAAUGUGUGGUAGAGUAACUCAGUUGACUGACUAUGUAUGCCUUAACGGUCAAUGUGGCCUCUUCCUCAUAAUCACAUGCAUAUCCACAUUUCAUUGUCUUGAUGAUCACGGACUGCGCUUCAAUAUUCACAAGUAGAAUAUGGACUGGCUUAAAGUGAAAUGUUAAUCUCAAAAGUAAAAAAUUUUUAUACAAACUUAAAACUAUCAACUAAAAGACGACAAAUAAAACCUAUCAGUUAAAAAAUAUGUUAAGAGAUUAAUGUUUUAUGUAUGGAAUUGAUUUCUUAGUUUAGUUGUUGUGUUUUUUUCUGUUCCAGUUAAAGAUUUUUAUUUUGUCUAUAUAUCUUGUAGAAGUUUGAAAUAGUUCUGUUUGGUGAACUGGGGGUAAUUCUAUAGCUAGUGCGCACAGGCUGAGAGAAUUUGUAUAUUUUUUUAUUAAUGGUUUCUAAAUAGAAACUUAUAAAAGGUUUACUAAAACAUAUAAACAUUCCAAAGAAUUUCCAUUAAACACUUCAAAAAGUUAUUUGGACGCAAAUUAAAGAAAGGUGUGGCAUAUACCACAUACUUCUUUUUAGUAAUUUAAGUUCAUGAAUAUCAUUCAGCCAAACAUAAAAAUAAAAGAGAUGUGCCUCAACUCAAUUAAGAACAAAAGAAAGUUCUCCAGCCUAAAUCAUUUUUAAUGAACUUAAUAACUUUUCUAAAACCCUAUUUUGUUGACUCAAUAUUUUCUCCUAAUUGGUUGUCUAUAACAAUUUUUAUACUGUGGCUGAGCUAAUAAUUUGUUCGUUAAGAGCAAUUCUACUUCUUCUUCGAAAAGAUCUAUGACAUUAGACUCUUUUUUUGAUGCUAUUGUUACUAUAUUUUUCGAUAAAUUAUUUUAUUACAUACAAAAGAAUGUGUGUUUCGUAUUAAAUAAAUUUCUGGAUCCGCUCUGCUGUGUACCCCAUUUUAUUUGGACAUGCAUGUGGAAUAAGGUAGUUGUAAGGCCAAGAGAAAAGCCUUAAAAACACACGUACGAAUCCAACGGAAUACGUAGAUUCUCGGAAAUGUAGACCGAAAUGGUGAAUUCAUAAAAAUAAAUAAUUAAAAAGAGAAAAAUGGAAAUUGUGGAAAUUAAUAGUCCAACCAAAAGCUGUACCAAAACAUCCAAUGUAGUAAAUAGUUUGAAACAUCAAAAGAAAUCAAAAUAAAAUGAUGAGGAAAUUAUGGAGAUCAAAUAGAUGAGCAAAGAUAGACGAGUAGAUGAGCAAAAAUAUUUUAAAGUUGAAUGAGGUAUAAAUAUUGAUACUACUUGCCAGAGAAGUGGUUCAUAUGGGGCGCUAUUGAGAUAAUGAUGUAGAGAAUCUUAGUUUAUCUAGAUUUACCAUUAUCUUUAGUUCCCAUUUCUAUUCGGUUAAUGUUUUGCGUACUUGUAUAAACACUCUCUAGUUUGUGAAUUAAUAUACAACCAACUUUUUUAUACAAUUUAGUUUGGGAGCGGAGAAGGAAAACAAUUACCCUUCAGUAUCUUUCUUUCUUACAAAUUUGGAAUUUAUCACCCAUCUUUUUUUAUUCAAGAUCAUUUUCCAACGAAUUCGGUUAGUAUGAUCGUGAAUCUCUUUUGGACAAUCCCAAAUUGAUCCGAUGACACCGUAAGUUAUGUGGUUUAUUUGAAAAAAAACAAAUCCUAAUGGUCUUUUAAGGUACUUUUUAAUUUAAUUUAUUGUUCAAAACGAAAAAGAAAACAAACAUCACGAAUAUAUAAUGGCAGGAUGUUAAUUUCAAAAGCUGCCGCUAUUUAAGGGCUUCGGAGAUCGGUCCAGCGAUGAGAUUGCAAACAACCCCAACCGUUAGAGCCUUCAAAACCCUAAACAUUCUUCUUCCUAUACUUGGACGACGCGACGCCAAUGACGAUGAUUGUCCUCCCUGUGCCUUAAGCCCUCUGCUUUUAGUACCCGAUUCAUCGGUCUGGUUAGAAGGUGACGUGUUGCACACGGCUAAGAUACACUCAAUAUGAAUAUCGAACUUGCAGAGCUCACACCUAUACCUCCAAGAUUGGCACGAGCCUUGACAAACCAUACACGUGCUCUCUCCACCGAGGCGAAACUCCAAGUGAUGAGCAGGGUGAAGCACGUGCCUCACGUGCUGCGGCAGCUGCGUGCAGAGCGGAUGUACGUCGAACUCACAUAGCUUGCAUCUGUAGAACAAACCCUCGACGGACUCGUUGCAGAUGUCGCACACGCGUUCGUUCUGGCGCGUGGACUGCUUUUGACGGAAGAGGCUGAUCUCGUGCUGGGGAUGAGUGAAGUUUUGGAGGGUGAAGGGACACGUGGCGCAGUAUUCGUGGAGAUCGUAGUUGCAUGGCUCGCAUCUAUAGGUUUUGUCUGAGCCGUAGGUUUUGCAGCCGUCGCAGAUAAAGUCACAUGCGAUGUUCAACUCCGUUAGUGGAUGAUUGUGCGUGAAAUGCUGAACGGCGCGCGGUUUUGGUGUCUUUGAAGCCAUCUUUAGCGUUUUUGGUGUGUGUGUGUGUGUUUUUUUAAAAAAAGGUUCGGAUUUGAGAAAAUAAACGGUGGUAUAAGAACGAAUACUUUUGAGAUGAUUCCAAAUAUUGUUUCGGAAAUAAAUAAGAACUUUCGCUAGACUGGUUACAAAAGACUGAAAGAUAGUACUUUUGUUGACUUGUCUAGAUAAGGUUAACGUGCUCUAGAAAUGUGUGGUACCGUAAUUUAGUUGACUGACUAUGUAUGACUUAACGAUCAAUAUUGUGGCCUCUUCCUCAUAAUCACAUAUCAACAUUUCAUUGUCUUCAUGAUAAAGGACUGCGCUCCAAUUUUCACAGUAGAAAAUGGACUGGAUUACAGUGAAAUGUUAAACUCAAAAGUAAAAUAUUUUUAUUCAAAAUUAGAACUAUCAUUUAAAAGACGAUAAAUAAAACAUAUCAGUCAAAAAAUAUGUUAAGAGAUUAAUGUUUUAUGUAUGGAAUUGAUUUCUUAGUUUAGUUGUAGUGUUUUUUUUUUUUUACUUCCAAUUAAAGAUUUUUAUUAUGUCUAUAUGUCUUGUAGAUGUUUGAAAUAGGUCUAUUUGGUGGACUGUGGGGAACUCUAGUUCGCACAGGCUGAGAUCUAUGAUGGUAUAGACUUUUUUUUAAUGCUAGUGUUACUAUAUUUUUCGAUAAAUUAUUUUAUUACUUACACAACAAAAAAUGUUUGUUCCAGAUUAAAUAAAUUUCUGAAUCCGCUCGUGUACCCAUUUUGUUUGGACAUGCAUGUGGAACAAGGUGGUCGUAAGGCCAAGAGAAAAGCCUUGCAUACACGUACGAGUCCAACGGAAUACGAAGAUUCUCGGAAAUGUAGACCGAAGUGGUGGAAAUAGUCCAACCAAAACUGUUCCAAAACAUCCAAUAGUAAAUAGUUUGAAACAUCAAAAGAAAAAUGAUACGAAAUUAUGGAGAUCAAAUAGACUUGCCAGAGAUGUGGUCCAUGUGGAGUUAUUGAGAUAAUGAUGUGCAGAAGAGUCUUAGUCCAUUAUCUUUAGUACCAAUUUCUUCUAUUGGGUUUAUAUUUACGUACUUGUAUAAACAUUCUAGUUUAUGAAUUAAUAGAAUCAACUUUUUUAUCCAAUUUAGUUUGGAAGCGGAGGAAACAAUUACCCUGAGUAUCUUUCUUUCUUACAAAUUUGGAAUUUAUCACCGAUCAUGUUGAUUCAAAAUAAUUUUCCAACGAAUUCGGUUAAUACGAACGUGGAUCAUCUCUUUUGAACAAUUCCAAAUAAAUAAAAUCCGAUGACACUGUAAAUUAGGUGGUUUAUCUGGAAAAAAUAAAUAAAGUAAAAAUGGUAUUUUUCAGGGUGCUCAACCGGAGUCGCCUUAAUAUGGUAACACGUACUUUUUAAAAUUUUCUAAAUUUAUUGUAUAAAAAGAAAAAGAAAUCAAACAUAUAUAACGAAAAAGAAAGCAAACAUAACGAAAAAAAAAAACGAAAAAGAAAACAAACAUAACGAAUAGAGAAACAAGACAUAGCAUGGCAGGAAGUUAAUGUUAGAGACGUGCCAUUUCAAAAGCCGCCGCUAAAGGCUUCGGAGACCGGUGCAGCGAUGAUAUUGCAAACAACACCAACCGUUAGAGCCAUCAAAACGCCAAACAUUCUUCUUCCUAUACUUGGACGCGACUCUUGAACAUGACCUUGAUGAUUUGUAUAUCCGUGAUUGUAAUAAGGCUGGUAAUACUGAGAAGGGUGAUAAUACGGUUGUGACCCAUCAUAACACCUCUCCUGAAACGUCGUCGCUGCGACUGAUGAUGCUGACGAAUUAACGCAUUCCAUGUGAACAUCUAACCGGCAUGGACCACACUUGUACCGCCAAGACCGGAUUGCCCCGUGGCAAACCAUGCACGCGCUGCUUGCUCCCCAAUGACUCAGGUCUAAGAGAUGGGCCUGAUGGGGCACGUGCCUCACGUGCUGAGGCAGCCACGUGCAGAGUGGAUGGACGUCGAAGCCGCAAGGCUCGCAUUGGUAAAAGAGCCCUUCGGCUGAUUCGUCGCAGAUGUCGCACAUACGUUUGUCAUGGUGCGUCUGCUCUGGUCCUCUAAAGACUAGUCGUAGCUCGUGUUGUGGAUGCAUGAAGCUGAGGAGGGUAGGGGGACACGUAGCGCAGUGAUCGUGGAGAUUGUAGUCGCACCAGGAGCAACGGUAGGUCUUCCCAAAACCGUAGGUUUUGCAGCCAUUGCAUGUGAACUCGCCAUAUCCAUCAAACUUUGUUAAUGGAUGCAUAUGGGUGAAAUGUUGGACUACGUGACUUGACGAAGACAUUUCGUGGUUCUUAUUUGUUUGUUCUUGAGAACGGUUAAGAUUUGAGAGAAUGAGUGGGGUGGUUUAAAAAGAACUAGUUUUUAGAACCAUUCUCAAACAAACUUUUUUUGGCAACUUGACUACUUGAGUUAAAACUUUGGUUUAGAGUCUUUAGACCAUCAAACAAAUAAUAGUUUCUGUAUAGCUGUCCUUACAAAAAUAUUAGCUUUCGUUCACUUGUACGCCAAAAACAAUAACUUUAACUUGGUCUUUAGAAAUUUUGAGAACGUGGUGAAGUAGUGUAGUUGACUUUGGCUAGUUGACUGAAUUUGGCCUCUUUUGAUUCGCGUCACAAUUUCUUUUUUUUUUUCAUUUUUUUUAAAACGUAUGAGUUUUUUAGUCGAUUUUCACAAAUAAAUCUACACAAUAAAUAUUCAUUUCUUUCGAAUAUUUUCCAAUGGUCGAAGAACAUGAUAUAUCAAGAAAUAAUUUCCCUUUGUUAUUGAGUCAGAUUGGAUGUAAACCAUAGCUUAAUCUGUUGUUUGAGAAUCAGAUUUUUACUCCAUGGUUAUUCCUCCCACGAUGUAUACUCCAUGUGCUUGUAUUUUGUAAGUUAUGAUCGCACCUCAUUCCAAGAACCUGAAAGCAUCAUGACAUGCCUUGGAUUGGGUAGCCUUAUCAACCCAUGAUUAACGUUUUAUCGCCUCUUGACUUUUUUUUAUACGUUCAAAUGAAUGGAUUUUUUCUACUAUCCAAACAACAUAAUUAUUACAAAAAUAUAUAUCUAAAUUGUAAUGUUUUUCUAUUUAAAUGAUAUAUAGUUGAUAAAUGAUUGUUUUCGAUCUUUCCUAGUAUCUAUUCGGAAGAACAAAUUGGUGAUUAUUUAUUACAGUUAACAUAAUUUUCAGUGUUGUGAUUUUAUUUUACACAACUGUGUAGCAAAAAAAGGAAAAGUAGAGAACCUGAUACAAACUGAUUUGCAUAAAGUUUGAGACUUUGAGUGGUUACUUUGGCCAGAAUGAUUUUUAUUUGUUGAAAAAGUUUCUGCAUUUUUGGCACAAAAUAUUAAAAUACAAAAAAAAAACAACAAAAUAAUACAUGUUUGCGUUUUCUUUGUAAAAAUUCAAAACUCACGCAAAAAGACUUUCAACGGAAAGCCCAAACAGUACAUUAGAAACCACCCCAAUUGUUAGCUUCGACGCAACGGUAAACAUUCUCCAGCCCUUACCCGGAUUCGGCUUUUGACCCGCUCCGGCCACUGGUACUUGGCCCUGGUCAUAUCGAACCCGUUCAUGUAACUAAAGUUAUUAGGGUUAGAGAUGAUAAGGCUGUGACCAUACGCAUAAGGGUAACCAAAAGCCGGUUGUUGACCCAUCGGUCCAUAACCAUAAGGGUAACCAACAUGCGGUUGUUGCCACGACGCCGAUGAAGAUGGUUGUCCUCCAUGUGCCUUGAGCCCUCUGCUUUUAAUACCCGAUUCAUCUGUCGGGUCAGAAGGUGACGUGUUACACACGGCUAAGAUACACUCCAUAUGAAUAUCAAACCUACAUAGCUCACACCUAUAUCUCCAAGACUGGCACGGGCCACGACAAACCAUACACGCGCUUGCUCCACCGAGGCGAAACUCCAAGUGAUGAGCAGGGUGAAGCACGUGCCUCACGUGCUGAGGCAGCUGCGUGCAGAGCGGGUGUACGUCGAACUCACAUAGCUUGCAUCUGUAGAACAAACCCUCGACAGACUCGUUGCAGAUGUCGCACGCGCGUUCGUUUUGGCGCGUGGACUGUUGUUUACGGACGACGAGGCUGAGCUCGUGCUGGGGAUGAAUGAAGGUCGGGAGGGUGAGUGGACACGUGGCACAGUAUUCGUGGAGAUCGUAGUUGCAUGGUUCGCAUCGAUAGGUUUUGCCUGAGCCGUAGGUUUUGCAGCCGUCGCAGUUGAAGUCACCGACGCUGUUA
rnacentral:lncRNA from 1 species